CAUGAAAUAAGAUAUAAGGAGACUCCACUCCGUAAAUGGAGAAUAAGUCAAGUUUACGUCGAAGUUUAAGUUCCAAUUUUUGCCACUUGUAGCGCUUGUGAACUGUUUAGUGUAGAGUUCCUAUAAGUAGAGUUGUGCCAAUCAUGAUUGCUUCUGUGAUUGGUUACGCCAUUUUGUUCCCAUGUUUCCGUUUCAAUACGUCAUCACAGUUCAGUUUGUUGAUAACUUUGUGUCGGACUGGUUGCAAUUUGACCAAUUUAUUUUUAUAAGCAACGAAGGAAAUGCCGAGUUGUGCAGCGCCAGGAUGUCGCAGUCAUUCAAGACAUGGCACAAAAAUGCACCGUUUUCCAAAGAAUCCACAACGACGAGAAGUUACCAUUUUCCAGCAAACAUGUGGGAAAAGGAGCGUGUUGAUGGAAAGAAGAAAUUGAAAGUGCACGCUAUACCAAUAAUAUUUGGACAUGCUAUCAUGCAAAUGCAAAAUAAUAGAGCUUCAGAGCAUAGAUCUAAUGCGAGGUCUACACAGCACUCACCGAUAUUAGUAUAUACAGAUCCAUCAAGUAAAGACGUUGUGAUAUUAUCUCAAUGUGAUGAAACCAGACAUUACGAGAGUACAGAGCCUAUGCAGGAAUCUUUAUUGGCACACUUAGCACCAUCAAAUGAAAAUGAAAUUAACAAUGUACAACAGGAAAAUAAGGAAGUGGAUGCACAGCACCAAGAGACAUGUACUAAUAUUCAUGCUUCCAGUAAGCAGACUUUUUUAUCGGAAGAUGUACCUCUGGAGGAAAAUGAAUGCGAUAUCAUUAGCAACGAUGAAAGUGUACAUAAACAGGAAGUCGAAUUAUUAACUGCACAGAAGAAAUUCGCAACAUCUGCAAUUGUGGUAUGGCAGAGAAGUACAAAAAACUUGAGAAACUAUAUUUAAAAAGUGAAAGAUCGAGGGUUUUAAUGAAAAAAAAUCACAACCGAUUGCAAGUCAUUAUGAAGAGGAAAAUUAUGAAACUGAAAAAAAUUGUACGUACGUGUUGCUCAAAGGUGGAAACAAACCGUGGCAUAUUUUUAUUCCGGUAAUAGUACAAACGGAUCGAUUUAUAAGUCAAUAAUUUUAAAUAUUAUUGAGGAAGCUAACAAAAUAGGAUUGCGUGUCCAGAGUAUCGUAUCCGAUAUGAGUGCUCCGAACCAGGCAAUGUGGAAAUCGUUUAACAUUAAUGUUUCUCGAUAUUCGACGGUACAAAAUAAAUAAAAAUCAUUUAUUCAUGAAUCUAUACCAGCCAGUUUGAAAUUACCCGAGCUCAAUUAUGCAGAGUACACAUACGAAAGGAUCAAAA
rnacentral:misc_RNA from 1 species